GACGUAGGGCGCGAGCGUUGUCCGGAUUUAUUGGGCGUAAAGAGCUCGUAGGCGGCUUGUCGCGUCGAAUGUGAAAACUCGGGGCUCAACCCCGCGCUUGCAUUCGAUACGGGCAGGCUCGAGUUCGGUAGGGGAGACUGGAAUUCCUGGUGUAGCGGUGAAAUGCGCAGAUAUCAGGAGGAACACCGGUGGCGAAGGCGGCUCUCUGGGACAAUGCUGACGCUGAGGCGCGACAGCGUGGGGAGCAAACAGG
rnacentral:rRNA from 1 species